rnacentral:rRNA from 1 species
UACUCCUACGGGAGGCAGCAGUGGGGAAUUUUGGACAAUGGGCGAAAGCCUGAUCCAGCAAUGCCGCGUGUGUGAAGAAGGCCUUCGGGUUGUAAAGCACUUUUGUCCGGAAAGAAAUGGCUCUGGUUAAUACCCGGAGUCGAUGACGGUACCGGAAGAAUAAGGACCGGCUAACUACGUGCCAGCAGCCGCGGUAAUACGUAGGGUCCAAGCGUUAAUCGGAAUUACUGGGCGUAAAGCGUGCGCAGGCGGUUGUGCAAGACCGAUGUGAAAUCCCCGGGCUUAACCUGGGAAUUGCAUUGGUGACUGCACGGCUAGAGUGUGUCAGAGGGAGGUAGAAUUCCACGUGUAGCAGUGAAAUGCGUAGAGAUGUGGAGGAAUACCGAUGGCGAAGGCAGCCUCCUGGGAUAACACUGACGCUCAUGCACGAAAGCGUGGGGAGCAAACAGGAUUAGAUACCCUGGUAGUCCACGCCCUAAACGAUGUCAACUAGUUGUUGGGGAUUCAUUUCCUUAGUAACGUAGCUAACGCGUGAAGUUGACCGCCUGGGGAGUACGGUCGCAAGAUUAAAACUCAAAUGAAUUGACGGA